rnacentral:rRNA from 1 species
UAACACAUGCAAGUCGAGGGGCAGCAUGGUCUUAUCUUGCUAAGGCCGAUGGCGACCGGCGCACGGGUGAGUAACACGUAUCCAACCUGCCGUCUACUCUUGGACAGCCUUCUGAAAGGAAGAUUAAUACAAGAUGGCAUCAUGAGUCCGCAUGUUCACAUGAUUAAAGGUAUUCCGGUAGACGAUGGGGAUGCGUUCCAUUAGAUAGUAGGCGGGGUAACGGCCCACCUAGUCUUCGAUGGAUAGGGGUUCUGAGAGGAAGGUCCCCCACAUUGGAACUGAGACACGGUCCAAACUCCUACGGGAGGCAGCAGUGAGGAAUAUUGGUCAAUGGGCGAGAGCCUGAACCAGCCAAGUAGCGUGAAGGAUGACUGCCCUAUGGGUUGUAAACUUCUUUUAUAAAGGAAUAAAGUCGGGUAUGGAUACCCGUUUGCAUGUACUUUAUGAAUAAGGAUCGGCUAACUCCGUGCCAGCAGCCGCGGUAAUACGGAGGAUCCGAGCGUUAUCCGGAUUUAUUGGGUUUAAAGGGAGCGUAGAUGGAUGUUUAAGUCAGUUGUGAAAGUUUGCGGCUCAACCGUAAAAUUGCAGUUGAUACUGGAUAUCUUGAGUGCAGUUGAGGCAGGCGGAAUUCGUGGUGUAGCGGUGAAAUGCUUAGAUAUCACGAAGAACUCCGAUUGCGAAGGCAGCCUGCUAAGCUGCAACUGACAUUGAGGCUCGAAAGUGUGGGUAUCAAACAGGAUUAGAUACCCUGGUAGUCCACACGGUAAACGAUGAAUACUCGCUGUUUGCGAUAUACUGCAAGCGGCCAAGCGAAAGCGUUAAGUAUUCCACCUGGGGAGUACGCCGGCAACGGUGAAACUCAAAGGAAUUGACGGGGGCCCGCACAAGCGGAGGAACAUGUGGUUUAAUUCGAUGAUACGCGAGGAACCUUACCCGGGCUUAAAUUGCAGAUGAAUUACGGUGAAAGCCGUAAGCCGCAAGGCAUCUGUGAAGGUGCCGCAUGGUUGUCGUCAGCUCGUGCCGUGAGGUGUCGGCUUAAGUGCCAUAACGAGCGCAACCCUUGUUGUCAGUUACUAACAGGUUCCGCUGAGGACUCUGACAAGACUGCCAUCGUAAGAUGUGAGGAAGGUGGGGAUGACGUCAAAUCAGCACGGCCCUUACGUCCGGGGCUACACACGUGUUACAAUGGGGGGUACAGAGGGCCGCUACCACGCGAGUGGAUGCCAAUCCCCAAAACCUCUCUCAGUUCGGACUGGAGUCUGCAACCCGACUCCACGAAGCUGGAUUCGCUAGUAAUCGCGCAUCAGCCACGGCGCGGUGAAUACGUUCCCGGGCCUUGUACACACCGCCCGUCAAGCCAUGGGAGCCGGGGGUACCUGAAGUGCGUAACCGCGAGGAGCGCCCUAGGGUAAAACUGGUGACUGGGGCUAAGUCG